CAAACUGUAGCUAAGAUAGUCAAAGCAUCUCCCUUACACUGAGAAGACAUUUGUGCAAAUCAAAUCUGUUUGA
rnacentral:tRNA from 1 species